CGCGAAGCCCACGCCACGGGACGCGGCGGUUCCGCACCCGCCGGGGCAGCGCAGAGCAGAGCGGCCCCUGCUGAGCGGAGCCCGGACAAGGGACAACGCGGCUGCACCGCGCGGCCUGGGGACCUGAGCCAGACGGACCCGCUGCGCAGGAACAUCUUCCACACAAGCAGCACCCGGGAGCCCUCGGGGCCGCCCCCUCACGCCUUUACUUCCGGAAGGCGGGGACCGCCACGGCGAGCGGCUAGACCAGCCGGGGCAACGCAGUGAGACCCCGCUCCCACCCAAAACCAAAAGUCAGCCGGGCGCGCCUGCGGGCCCAGCUACCGGGAGGCCGAGGCGGGAGGAUCGUGAGCCGAGACUUUGCCACUGCAGUCCAGUCUGGGCGACAGAGCGAGGCCGUGUCUCUAAAAGGAAAAAACUAGGAAGAAGCGGGCCGCCCCGAACUUCGGGGAAGCAAAUGAGGACCACGACCAGUGUCCACCCGUUCAACCAAACAAAAGCUGACAGGAAUCCCGCCACCUACCCGGCCCGCCCCCGACGUCGCUCCGGCCUAUCCCGCGCCGUUCCUCAAACUAGACCCGCCUCCGAUGUCGCCCUGGCCUAUCCCACGCCGAUCCUCAAACGAGGCCUGCCCCCGAUGCAGAAGCUCCGCCCCUUAUUCUCCCCGACUUCGCGGCUCUGUCCUGACCCUCAGCCUCUCCUGCUGGCUCUUCCCGCACUGUAGAAUCCCGCCGCGACCUGUCUCCCAGGCUACCCCGCUUCGCGCCGCACAGGAACCCCGCCCCUAGUCUCUCCUCCCGCCUAUCCUGAGCCGCGUGCGCACAAAUCCCUCCUACCGACCCGCCCACUCUGAGCCUCAAACUGGCCCCUGGGCCUUUCCCGCGCCGCGCAGUUCUGAUCACCGACGCACGAGUCCCACCCCCGAUCUCACCCUCGGCCUAUCCCGCGCCGCUCUGCACAGGAGCCCCGCCUCCUACCUCGCCCGCAGCCUAUCGCGCACCGCGUCGCUCCCUCGCCCUCCAACUCGCUCACGCCCGCGGAUGGGCGCGCGGCUGUGACGUCACGGCGCCGGCGGUAAGGGGCUGGCGGCCGCGGAGCAGCGUAGCUCCCGGCCCGCGGCGAUGCCCAAGCGGGACUGCCCCUUCGCGGACGCGGCCCCGCUACAGCUCAAGGUGCGCGUGGGCCAGAGGGAGCUGAGCCGCGGCGUGUGCGCUGAGCGCUACUCGCAGGAGGUCUUCGAGAAGACCAAGCGACUGCUCUUCCUCGGGGCCCAGGCCUACCUGGACCGUGUAUGGGAUGAAGGCUGCGCCGUCGUUCACCUACCAGAGUCCCCAAAGCCUGGCCCUACAGAGGUCCCGAGGGCUGCACGUGGGCAGAUGCUGAUUGGACCAGAUGGUCGCCUGAUCAGGAGCCUUGGGCAGGCCUCUGAAGCUGACCCAUCCGGGGUAGCGUCCAUUGCCUGCUCCUCAUGUGUGCGAGCCGUGGAUGGGAAGGCGAUCUGCGGCCAGUGUGAGCGAGCCCUGUGUGGGCGGUGUGUGCGCACCUGCUGGGGCUGUGGCGCUGUGGCCUGUACCCUGUGUGGCCUCGUGGAAAGUAUCCCUAAGGGGCCAGGUGUGGUGGCUCACACCUUGUAAACCCAGCACUUUGGGAGGCCAAGGCAGGAGGAUGGCCAGAGCGAGGAGUUCAAGACCAUCCUAAGCAACAUAGCGAGACCCCCAUCUCUACCAUAAAAAAGCGGUGUCAGUCUCCCAGCCUGUCAGUCUCGAAGCUCACCCAGAAGAGAGCUCCGGACUGCUCCAGAUGUGGCUGUUCUUGGCUUCCACAGACCCAGAACAUCCUCCCCAGCCUGUGCUCCCUGUGGGGCACCCUCUCCAGUUUAGUGAGAGCAGCCACACACCCCUGGGAAUGCCUUGGAGAGGGGCCAACUGCCAUCAACAGGGGCCGGACUCUGCAACCACCCACACCCAUGGUGAGUCCGUCCAAGAGAUGAGGAAGCUGAGGCUCCCGGGCCUCUGGCUCCCACCCCGUCUGCGGGUCACCCCGACCCAUCUGCGGGUCACCUGACUGACCAACCACCCGGAGCCUGGCAGCUAACGUGCCAUGUCAGUGGCUUGGCAGUGGGCCCCUCUCCUGGCUCGGAGAGUAGUUCCGGCAGGCGUCCACCAGGUGGCAGCACCAGCACAUUCUGUACGCUGUUCGGGUUCGGAACUCAUCUAGCUAGUGCUCUGGGGCAACCUGGGACCCAGCCUAGCCCCUCCUCCCUCCCCCCCCGCAGCCCCUCCUCCCGCUCUGUCCAACUUCGAACAAGCCACUCAGGCCUCCUGGCCCUUCUUCCACUGUGGCCCAGGCCAUGAUCUUGGCCCUAGCUCCGAGCCUUCCUGGUGGUCAGGGUCUCAUUCACUGCCCCACCCAGGGGAACCACAGCUGAGGCUGGGGGGCAGAUGCCCAUAGUCCAGUGGUCUCCUUCCUGGCUGGGGUGAAGCUGGGUGGGGUCAAGGGAAGAAGAGGUGGGUUCCAAGGGGGCAGGGCCAGCCAGGGCCUCCCAUCUCGCCACAGGCCCGCAGACUCCCUGAGCCCACCACGAAGCCUGUCCCCAGACCUGCUGGGGUGGUGGUGCCCACAGGAGGAGAGGAGCAAGACCAGCUGCUCUGAGGAUGCUGGUUCCCUCCUAGGGCUCCCCACUCCCUCCCUGGCCACGCACUCCUCUACCCAGCAAAGUGAGCCAAAAACUUGAAAAGCAACUUUUAUUGAAGAAUUUGGAGGGCAAGUUUCAUAUUAUAAUAGUAAAAAUACUAAAGUUGAAUGUCGUAAAAAAAUGCCAUGGUGCAGCAGCAGCGGCAGCGUCUGGCUGGGAGGGGUGUGGAGGGCCCAGGGACAGUCACCCCCCAGAGGGAGUCAGGGCGGGCCUGGGGCGACAGCGGAAAGGUUCAGCGUCGAAAAGGUCAAGUGCUAUCAAGGAGAGGUCAUCUGAGGGGAGGCUCCUGGUGGGACAGUCACCAAGAACUCUGACACAGAAGGGGGAAGGGGGAGGUCUUUUCUGUCACCAAGAUUAAAAACCCCCAAAAUGCAUUUGAACAUGAUACAGAAUAACAAAUUGAAACCUUGCCCCUCUGUCCGACUGGGCAAACCCUGGCCCAUCUCCCAUCCUUGGUCCCCUCCCAGGGGGCCCAGCCUCCGACGUCCUCAGAGACACAGCCCUGGUGCUGGGGGCUGCCGUGUGCCUGCCUCCCCCAGGAGGGUGCCGGGCAUGCCACAGUGAGGUUGCGUCUGGUGCCGCCAGGCUGAAGUGAGGCCCAGGGCCACAGAGAGAUGAUAGACAGCUGGUGACAGCCCGUGCGGCUGGCUGAUGGAGUGAGGGGACCCAGCGGAAGGACCUGCCCGGCCCCCCACCCCACAUUGCGCAUAGCUGCAAAACUGGAUUGUUCUGAGGGCUGAGGCCACAUCCAGAGAACAAAUCAGAUGAAAUAAAUUAAAACCCGCAGGACAAUUUUCUUCCCUACCCCGCUGCGAGGGAGGG